UUCCCUGGUGGCGCAGUGGUUGAGACUCUGCCUGCCAAUGCAGGGGACACGGGUUCGAGCCCUGGUCUGGGAAGAUCCCACAUGCCACGGAGCAACUGGGCCCGCGAGCCAUAAUUACUGAGCCUGUGCGUCUGGAGCCUGUGCUCCACAACAAAAGAGGCUGCAAUGAAACAUGAUUGUUUUCUAACGGGAGGUAUUUGAAAUGCCUUAGCUAAAGACUGAUUUAAAGAAAAGCCUUCUUUUGGAUUCAUCUCAACAUCUAUCAGUUAGAACCAUGUGACUAGUUCUGGCCAAUGGACUGUGAACAGAUUUACUGUGUGUCAAAGCACUUAAUUGCCAGUAGGAGGACACCCUAUACCUAUUUGCUAUCGCCAUGGCAACAAAAGAAGCUGUAUGCUGAAAUGGCAGAUUCAAAGACAGAAGCGGCCUUGGUUGCUAGGUCACCACAUGGAGGAUACUGCUCUGCAGAGUUGCCUGGACUUACAGUUACUUUGCUUUCUUCAGCCUACAGAAGUCAUUAACACUAACCUGUGUUGUAUGUGGCUCAGUCAGGCCUCAAGGUACAUCUUUGUGCUGCAAGAAACU